rnacentral:rRNA from 1 species
AUUGAACGCUGGCGGCAGGCCUAACACAUGCAAGUCGAGCGGAUGAAGGGAGCUUGCUCCUGGAUUCAGCGGCGGACGGGUGAGUAAUGCCUAGGAAUCUGCCUGGUAGUGGGGGAUAACGUCCGGAAACGGGCGCUAAUACCGCAUACGUCCUGAGGGAGAAAGUGGGGGAUCUUCGGACCUCACGCUAUCAGAUGAGCCUAGGUCGGAUUAGCUAGUUGGUGGGGUAAAGGCCUACCAAGGCGACGAUCCGUAACUGGUCUGAGAGGAUGAUCAGUCACACUGGAACAGAGACACGGUCCACAGUCCUACGGGAGGCAGCAGUGGGGAAUAUUGGGCAAUGGGCGAAAGCCUGAUCUAGCAACGCGGCGUGUGUGAAGAAGGUCUUCGGAUUGUAAAGCACUUUAAGUUGGGAGGAAGGGCAGUAAGUUAAUACCUUGCUGUUUUGACGUUACCAACAGAAUAAGCACCGGCUAACUUCGUG